AUUGAACGCUGGCGGCAUGCCUUACACAUGCAAGUCGAACGGCAGCACGGGAGCAAUCCUGGUGGCGAGUGGCGAACGGGUGAGUAAUAUAUCGGAACGUGCCCAGUCGUGGGGAUAACGUAGCGAAAGCUACGCUAAUACCGCAUACGAUCUACGGAUGAAAGCGGGGGAUCGCAAGACCUCGCGCGAUUGGAGCGGCCGAUAUCAGAUUAGGUAGUUGGUGAGGUAAAGGCUCACCAAGCCGACGAUCUGUAGCUGGUCUGAGAGGACGACCAGCCACACUGGGACUGAGACACGGCCCAGACUCCUACGGGAGGCAGCAGUGGGGAAUUUUGGACAAUGGGCACAAGCCUGAUCCAGCAAUGCCGCGUGCAGGAUG
rnacentral:rRNA from 1 species